CGAACUCACGGACCGCGAGAUCAUGACCUGAGCCGAAGUCGGACGCUCAACGGACUGAGCCACCCAGGCGCCCUGGGGCGUCUUCUUUUGAUGAGGACACAGUCAUGUUGGAUUAGGAUCCCACCCUUUUCCACUCUGAGCGCAUCUCCUCUGAUUACAUCUCCGAUGACCUUACUUCCAAACAUCACGUUCUGAGGUCCUGUUUAAGACGCAUCGGCCUAUCUUUCUGUGGGGACACGAUUCAACCCACUCGCUAGUAGUGUAACCAAGAGCACCUUCCUCAAGUCAGUAGAAACAUCUCCCUAAACCUGCUGUUGAAGGAAAGCGGAAGGGUAACCGUCUUUUAGUUUCUGCUUAUUUCUCGCAUUGUCUGUGCCCGAGCCGGGUUGACGGGUGUGCAGCUGCCAGAGCCUCUGAUUCCGAGCCAUCCAAGCCGUCGGGAGCCCUGAAUACGUCGUCUUCCAGUUGGCUAGCUCAGCGACUCAGAUGGAAAGCAAAGAGAUGAUGUGACUCCGUCCACAUGGAGACAUUAGCUUGUGUUGCGUAUUUUAACUUUACAGACCGUGUUUGUGCUGUAGCGCCUUUACGCUUCUCAUGGCAAACAGUCUGGAAUGUCAUUAAAACUUUUCCAGUAAAAUGUGCAAAUUUUGGCAAAACAAACAGAAGGGUAUCGAUAUUCUGAGCUUGGCUAAACUGCGUCAGCCCCUGCUUCCUCCCUCCUGUCCCCAAAUGAAGUGACGUGGAGAGCAAAGGGCCUGAGUGUUACCCGGCCUGAGUCCCGCAAGAACCUGGCACUGUGGAGGCCUCUGUCCCUUACAUACCCGCACAGCUGAUGGCACUCUGUCUUUAUCAGUGGCUUCCGUGGUGACCGCCCCUGGAGCCCAGAAGAAGGGGGAGGCCUUGGGCCUACUUGGCUAAGGGCCCGUGUUCAAAGGCGGCCCCCACUCUGAGAGAGCAGCCUUGUGGCCAUACGGACUAUAAAUGCUGGGCUCCUACUCAUGGCCUCAUUCCAGGAGAGAGCCCUACGCCCGGUGACCCUGGGCGCUGGGAACCAGUGAAGCAAAACGUCCCUGUAGCCGGGUCCUGAUCUUAACCCACUGGUCGUCCACCUGCGCACCCCUUUUUCCUGGAUUAACAAAAUCCAAGCAAUUACUCACAGCUUCAACACACGAUGGGGGGAAGGGCUCCUGUUCAGUUUCCAUUCCGCAAAUAGGUGAUCAAAACUUCUGCGAGUUGUCUUGGUGGCGUUUGUUCUGGACCAGUGGUUCUCACUUGGGCGUGCUCAGAGUCGCCUAGAGGGCUUGUUCGAACAGUGCCAGGCCCCACCCCUGGAGUUUCUGGUUCUAGGGGUCCGAGUGGGCCUUGAGAUUUGCACUUCCAGCACGUUCCCAGCUGAUGGUGAUGCUGUGGGUCUGAGGACCCCACUUGGAUCAAUCACUUGUCCUGUACCCCUGCCGUCCGAUAUGCAGUCGCUGGCCACAGAUGGCCUGGAGCACGUGAAAUGCAGCAAGCCCAGCUGGAGGUUGGAUUCUUAGUUUUAUCUAACUUAAAGGCUGUUAACUUGAUUUACUUUUUAGAAAAAUCCUUCAGUAUGUUAGGAACUUUGGUAUGUGAAUCUGGUUUUUCAGUUCUGGAUUUUAUUUAUUUUUUCAUUUAUUUAUUUUUUUUAGUUCUGGAUUUUAAAUACAGGUCAGGCCUUUCUCAUGAAAACUUAAUGUCCAAAUUGAGAAUCUGAAACACACUUGAGCUUUGAAGACAAACCAUAAAAUACAUCAUCGUUAAAAAAA